AACAUCACAAAGGAGUGCUUCGGCUGAGAUCGCAUCUGCGAAAUCCUCAAAACCUGAUCUCGUUAGGACGAGCGUAGGGAUUGUGACCAUUUGAAAU
rnacentral:ncRNA from 2 species